rnacentral:rRNA from 1 species
GCCAUGCCGCGUGUGUGAAGAAGGCCUUCGGGUUGUAAAGCACUUUAAGCGGGGAGGAAGGUUCGCCACCUAAUACGUGGCGGAAUUGACGUUACCCGCAGAAUAAGCACCGGCUAACUCUGUGCCAGCAGCCGCGGUAAUACAGAGGGUGCAAGCGUUAAUCGGAAUUACUGGGCGUAAAGCGCGCGUAGGUGGUUGUGUAAGUUGGAUGUGAAAGCCCCGGGCUUAACCUGGGAAUGGCAUUCAAAACUGCACGGCUAGAGUACGGGAGAGGGGGGUAGAAUUCCAGGUGUAGCGGUGAAAUGCGUAGAGAUCUGGAGGAAUACCGAUGGCGAAGGCAGCCCCCUGGCCUGAUACUGACACUGAGGUGCGAAAGCAUGGGGAGCAAACAGGAUUAGAUACCCUGGUAGUCCAUGCCGUAAACGAUGUCGACUAGGUGUUGGGGAACUUGAUUCCUUAGUGCCGCAGCUAACGCAUUAAGUCGACCGCCUGGGGAGUACGGCCGCAAGGUUAAAACUCAAAGGAAUUUGACGGA